AUUGAACGCUGGCGGCAGGCUUAACACAUGCAAGUCGAGCGGGGUGAGGUGCCUCGGUACUGAUCCUAGCGGCGGACGGGUGAGUAAUGCUUAGGAAUCUGCCAUUUAGUGGGGGACAACAUUCCGAAAGGAAUGCUAAUACCGCAUACGUCCUACGGGAGAAAGCAGGGGAUCUUCGGACCUUGCGCUAAAUGAUGAGCCUAAGUCGGAUUAGCUAGUUGGUGGGGUAAAGGCCUACCAAGGCGACGAUCUGUAGCGGGUCUGAGAGGAUGAUCCGCCACGCUCGGACUGGGACACGGCUCAGACUCCUACGGGUGCCAGCAGUGGGGAAUUUUGGACAAUGGGCGGAAGCCUGAUCCAGCCAUGCCGCGUGUGUGAAGAAUGCCUUUUGGUUGUAAAGCACUUUAAGCGAGGAGGAGGCUACCUGGAUUAAUACUCUGGGAUAGUAGACGUUACUCGCAGAAUAAGCACCGGCUAACUCUGUGCCAGCCGCCGCGGUAACAC
rnacentral:rRNA from 1 species